rnacentral:lncRNA from 1 species
CCUGGCCAUUGACAGGCUCAAUCUGCUGCAGGGUGGCCAGCACAAACACAGCUGUCUUGCCCAUCCCAGACUUGGCCUGGCACAGGACAUCCAUACCCAGAAUGGCCUGGGGAAUACACUCAUGCUGGACUAAGAAAGAAAAAAGCGUGUGAGUUAAGACACUGGCUGCUGCCUCUCUGCACACUCUUCUGCCAGACCCCAACCAUCUGCUUGCAUAGAGGCUGCUGAUAUAACUGACUCACGGGGAGGACAUAUCCCCUAUCCAAGGCACAGGAGAAGCUCAGGAUGGGUAGGAUUUACUCUGGGAAGAGGGCAUAACAGGGUGGCACCAGUGUAGCAUACCCUCUGAAGGAUGCUCAAAGCCACAGUCAACUAUAGCUCUCAGGAGCUCUGGCUUCAGUAGAAAGUCCCGGAAGCCAGAACUGUGGAUGGAGACAUAAGAUCCUUUGACAUCUUUCUUCGGGGGAGCUGGAGUGCUCUCCUGGGGUGCCUGGGGCUCUUCAUCUUCAUCAUAAUCCAAAAGUUCAUUUUCCACAUCCUGUUCUGCCAUGGCACUGAGAACAGAAAAGAGGGUAAGGUAGAAACACAUCUGAGAACCACGUAGGAAAACCCACUUGGCAGAGAAGGAGGAUAAGGAAAGGGUGGCAGGGGCAAGCCCUGGACAGGCAGAGCUCAGUGGUGUACAGGACUUCCCACUUCAGCCUACUGUCCUGUCACCAUCCUCUCAGCAACCUCCCAUCUGCUACACACCACUCUCCCAUCCAAUGCCACCCAGCCCAAGCAUUCUAAGGUCUACCAUACUACAAAUGGGGACCUGGCCCAGUGAUCUACCAGGUUCUAUCCCCAACACCACAAAUCAAAUAAGUGAUAGUUAUCACACAGAUUCGUCACUAUAGCCCUCAUGGCCGUUUUCAAGUCUGUAUAUACAAGAUUUUUUUUAGACAGCCCUAAUAGUCCUGGCUGUUCCAGAACGGACAGUUACAGGUUGACAUCAUUUCACCUGGCUAAUGUGUCCUCACUGACAUUCAAGUUUUGGCACUAAUAAGGUUUCUCAGACCACCCUCCCAAGGAGCUCCUGGAACCCACAGCUUGGACCUGAAGUUGUACCUGCCUUGGUGUUGAGAAAGGAGUUGUUGUGGUCAAGAAGCAAGCAGCAUUUCCCCUACCAGCCCAGCCCAGCCCAGCCCAGCCUAGCCUAGCCUCCCCUACCUUUUGUGGUCUACACAGGGGAAUCAUUAAGAGCUUUUAUGAAGAGGAUUCCCAUUGGGCCAGGCCAGCAAGCCAGCCAGUUAAGAUGCUAAAUGGAAUUCUCAGGAGACGAGCUCACCCCCCCCCCCACACACACUUUAUUAAUCCCUUAUACACCAAGUACAAGGCACACACCAGCCAGGCCUGUCUCUCAUCUUCCCUAGCCUGCAAAAAUAGUUCCAUCUUCCUGAGGUAGGAUGCUAACAUACUAGGACCCACUUCUAGCCCUCUUGUUCAUUCUCCAUGACUUUAUCCAAUGAUAUUCAGCCAUUUCUAUGUUGACUCUCCCCAACUUUGUCUACAGCCAUAUACCUUUUCCACUCCACAGCCGUUACCAGCUGCUUUCCCAUAUCCUUACAAGUUUAAUUCAGGCGGUCUACAGCAAAGCUUUGUGAUUCACCCCAAGGGCUACCUACAUUCCCCCAUCUCAAAAAUAUUUAUGCCAUUCUCAGGGGCAGUCUUGACUGACCAAGAAAUCUUAUCCAGUAAAUUCCACUUACCAAAUCCAGUUAGGCCCACCUAGCCACUUCUCACAAAGGUUGGUCCCAAGGUGAAGUGACCUUUUGUUUGUUUCUUUAAAAUUGGAACAGCUUUACUGAAACAAUCAUAUGAUAUACAAUUCACCAACCAAAGCACACAAUUCAGGAGCCACAAACAUGCUCACACAAUCAGCUCUAACACCAGGCAGUGGUAGUGCACUCCUUUAAAUCCCAGGACUUGGGAGGCAGAGGCUGGCAGAUUUCUAGGUUCGAGGCCAGCCUGGUCUACAGAGAGAAACCCUGUCUUGAAAAACCAAAACCAAAACCAAAAAAAAAAAAAAAAAAAAAAAAACCAAAAACCAAAAACCAAAAAAACCCAACCUUCUGGAUGAACUAGAGAAAUGGCUAAUUGAUUAAAAGUACAUGAUCACAUGAUCUUUCUUUCAGAGCACAGGUUCAAUUCCCAACAUCCACAUGAAGGUCGACAACUGUCUAUAACCCCGGUUCCAAAGAGACCCAAUGUCCUCUUCUGACCUUCCGACCAAACAUGCACUCUGAAUAUAAAUGCAUUCAGACAAAACACUUCUAUAAAACAAAAUCAGUAAAUUUAAAAAACCCCUGGGCCUGGGGUGUGGCUCACCAAUAAAUGCCUAGCAUGUGAGAAAACCCUGAACUCCAUCCCCCAAACCACAAAGUAGCCUGCUGCCCACAACCAUCGCCUGCCUAACUCCCAGACAGUUACUCUGCCAAGAAGCGUCUGCAGACUAGCCUUUUCUGGGCAUUUUCUAUAAAUAGGUUCAGACAGCAUCACCUGGCCUUUUACUUUGAUUCCUUCACUCUACCAUUCUCAACACCCACCCAGAAUGGGAAUAAAUGCUGAAUUCCUUUUUAUAGCCAAAUAUAAGAUCAUGUGAAUUGAACCCCAGUGCUCUGAAAGAAUGAAAGAACAUGUGCUCUUAAUCAAUCAGCCAUCUCUCUAACCCAUCCAGAGGUUUUCUUUUUGAAAGGUGGUGAAGCAUAUUCAAGUUGAUUGUGCUGAUGCCACAGCAUGUAAGAAUAUCACGGGUGUCAUUUUUGGGUUACAUUGUUUUGUCUGGAUCACACCAACAGCCUCCUCAGUGUCCACUGAUCCCUAUGCUACACAACUCCCACAGCAGGCAGAGGGAGCCUACUCCAGCUACAUCACACCUGGCUGUCACUGUGCUGUACGAGUCCCCCACAUCCACACACCCCUACACAUACACAAGUGAAAAUGCUUAGGUAUCAGUCCUUAAAGCACUAGACCCCAGCAAAGGUUUAAAGCAGAGACAGCUAGGAGAGGAGAGCUGAGCAGGCCCAGGGCCUGUGUUGUGUACUUCAGUUGCUAACUAGGCUUGGAGUUGAGUGAUUCAGUAAGAAUUUGCUCAAGAUGGAGUGGAAGAUAAGAGCAACAGCAGGGAGAAACUAAUUCACUGAAAGGGAAUUAGCUGGGUGGGGUACUGAAGUCGAGAAGAUGAGUCACCAAAGAGCUCAAAGCCAGUCCUGGGGAGAAAAGAAUCACACAUCUCUGGGUUCAAACACCUGAAUGACCAAGAUGUACCUAUUUCUAUUUGAAACUGAGUCUCAUGCAGGCCCUCAAACUUGUGUGUAGCCCAGACUAGCCUCGAAUUCCAGAUCCUCCUGCCUCCACUUCCCAAAUGCUAGAAUAUAUUAAAAAUGAAUUCUAAAAAAUGCCUGAGACAGGGACAGACAGAUCUCUAGUUCCAGGCUAGCCUGGGCUACACAGUGAGAUCUUGUUUCAACAACAACCAAAAAACUUUUAAGUUCUAAGACUGGCUAGGCAAGGUGGCCAAUGUGGCUUAAGAAUUAAUGAUGCUUUCACACGACCUGAGUUAGGUUUCUCAGUUUACAUCCUUCUAACUCCAGGGUCAGUACUUCCGGCCUCCUAGAGCACCUGCACACAGGUAGUCAUUCAAAUAUUUACACCUAAAUAAAAAACUUCAAGAACAACCUCGAUUUCAGGAGAACCUAUCUUCUGGCCUCUCAUAUGUGUACUCUGUCUUUAGGCAGUACUGCUUUAAAAACAUUUAUUGUGCUGGUGAAAGGAUAAAUGUGAAGCCGGGCUUAGUGGGACACGCCUUUAAUACCAGACCUCCGGGGACUGAGCCAAGUGGACCUCAGUGAGUUCGAGCCCGACCUGGUCUUCAGAGAGAGAGUUCAAGGACGACCAGGAUUAUGUAAAGAGAUCCUGUCUCAAGAAUCUAGGCACACAAAAGGUUCCGGGAACUAGUUGAGGCGCAACUCGGAGCGUAUGGCCCCCCACCCCCAAUACGUCAGGCCUUGCUUCAACCAGGAAAAUGAAACAAGUGAACCCAGACUGUCACAGACCUAAAGUUUCAACUAUAGGUCCAGGCAGACCAGAGGCAACGGGCUGAACCGGCCUCACACCGGGAAAGCGACGCCGAGUGAAUGGCCACGUUCCUAAGAGGCGCGACACUGGCCUUCCGCAUCAGAGUCUGGAGAAGAAUCUCCUGGGCGAGCGGCGGAACAAGACGGGAAGCCGGUGACUGCAGACUCGGGACGUCUGCCCAGAUAGCCUGAGUCCUCUCGCCGUGACCGAAAACGCAGUGUGGAUCCGCCCGGUCCCUCAAUCCCACCACGGUACACAUGGGGCCUCCGAGAGCCGCCAUUCCCAUCACCGUCCCCGGAAGCCGACCUACUAACGGCUGGCCCGCCCCUGGCGCAUGCUCAAUGGAGCCCAACGGCCGCCGGCUCGAGGUGCCUAACCGUCCCGCUGCUGUGCGCCCACUCCUCCCGCUGCACCGCGCCCCGCAGCUUCCCUUUCGGCGAACCCACAGCCCCGCACCGCGGCCCCGGCCUCGGGACCCGCCACUUACCUGCCGCCCGGUUCGCCUCCGCGAGCUGCAAAGAGAGCCACCCGUCCGGUUCUACGCCGCGACCCUGGACGCGCGCUACAGUGCUUCCUGCCUGGAGCCCAACUCGAGUCUCGCUCACUGGAUAGCUGGCUUAUCACUCAACAGAGGAAAGGAUGAUGAUCGCAGCCUGUACAAAGACCCUAUGGCUGGCAGCAAUAUGAAAAGACCAGAGUGGCUGGACAGACUACCUUGAAGGCCAAAUGAGGCUGAGAAACCUCUUCUACGGCUGCUUCAAAGGCAAGCCCAGACUCUCCAGCACGGAGAAGCAGAACACAGUGAUAGCGCACUGUCUUGAUGAAGAGUAAAGUUUGCCUUGUUCGGACAUUUCAUUUUGAAGGAUGGUCUCUUUCUUUGCCACCCCGAAACUUAUUCCUAACACACAUGAAUCAAAA